rnacentral:rRNA from 1 species
AUUGAACGCUGGCGGCAGGCCUAACACAUGCAAGUCGAGCGGAGCGGCGGACGGGUGAGUAUGGCCUAGGAAUCUGCCGGUUAGGGGGGGAUAAGGCCCGGAAACGGGCGCUAAUACAGAAAACUCUAAGAGAGGCAUGGGUCGGAUUAGUUAGUUGGUGGGGGAAAGGCCUACCAAGGCGACGAUCCGUAACUGGUCUGAGAGGAUGAUCAGUCACACUGGAACUGAGACACGGUCCAGACUCCUACGGGAGGCAGCAGUGGGGAAUAUUGGACAAUGGGCGAAAGCCUGAUCCAGCCAUGCCGCGUGUGUGCAGAAGGUCUUCGGCUUGUAAAGCACUUUAAGUUGGGAGGCGUUACCAACAGAAUAAGCUUCGGCUAACUUCGUGCCAGCAGCCGCGGUAAUUC